rnacentral:misc_RNA from 1 species
CAGCCGGGUAAUUCCAGCUCCAAUAGCGUAUAUUAAAGUUGUUGCAGUUAAAAAGCUCGUAGUUGAAUUUCGGGAUUGACGUGAUGGUCAUGCCUUAAGGGGUAUGAACUGUUGCAGUUGAUUUCUCACCUUCUGGAGAAACUUGAUGUCCUUUAUUGGGUGUCUUGCGGAUCCAGGACCUUUACCUUGAAAAAAUUAGAGUGUUUAAAGCAGGCAUUUUUGCUCGAAUACAUUAGCAUGGAAUAAUAGAAUAGGACGGCAUGGUUCUAUUUUGUUGGUUUCUAGGAUCACCGUAAUGAUUAAUAGGGAUAGUUGGGGGCAUUAGUAUUCAAUUGUCAGAGGUGAAAUUCUUGGAUUUAUUGAAGACUAACUACUGCGAAAGCAUUUGCCAAGGAUGUUUUCAUUAAUCAAGAACGAAAGUUAGGGGAUCGAAGACGAUCAGAUACCGUCGUAGUCUUAACCAUAAACUAUGCCGACUAGGAAUCAGACGAUGUUAAUUUUUUAAUGACUCGUUUGGCACCUUACG